rnacentral:rRNA from 1 species
UAGCUAGUUGGUGGGGUAAGGGCCUACCAAGGCGACGAUCGGUAGCUGGUCUGAGAGGAUGACCAGCCACACUGGAACUGAGACACGGUCCAGACUCCUACGGGAGGCAGCAGUGGGGAAUAUUGGACAAUGGGGAAACCCUGAUCCAGCAAUGCCGCGUGUGUGAAGAAGGCCUGAGGGUUGUAAAGCACUUUCAGUGGGGAGGAGGUAUAUUUGGUUAAGAGCUGGAUGUAUGGACGUUACCCACAGAAGAAGCACCGGCUAACUCCGUGCCAGCAGCCGCGGUAAUACGGAGGGUGCGAGCGUUAAUCGGAAUUACUGGGCGUAAAGAGUGCGUAGGUGGUUGAAUAAGUUAUCUGUGAAAUCCCUGGGCUUAACCUGGGCAGGUCAGCUAAUACUGUUUAACUCGAGUAUGGGAGAGGGUAGUGGAAUUUCCGGUGUAGCGGUGAAAUGCGUAGAGAUCGGAAGGAACACCAGUGGCGAAGGCGGCUACCUGGCCUAAUACUGACACUGAGGCACGAAAGCGUGGGGAGCAAACAGGAUUAGAUACCCUGGUAGUCCACGCUGUAAACGAUGUCAACUAGCUGUUGGUUAUAUGAAAAUAAUUAGUGGCGC